GGGGAAACUUCCGGGGGAGGCACCUCGUGAUAGAAAAUCACAACCAUAUGAGUAUCAUUAGUCUCUCUCUCUCUCUGUCUCUCUCUUUGUCCCUCUGCCUUAUAAAUGUCCAGUUCACGCUCUACUUUCAAGGGUCAACAACAAGAAGUUGCACACUUUGAAUCGUCCAUGGGGGUGUGUGUGUGAACCAUAGAUGAAUAGAUGUCUAAUGAAUCUUCUUCUUCUUCUUGGUCAAAGAAGAAAGCACCGACCGAACAUUGUCGCCUGAGAGGUACCCCUUAACCGGCCCCCUCUCUCUCUCUCUCUCUCUACCUUCACUCUCAUCAUCUCCCGUCUCCCCAAACCCGAUCUCCAUUUGGGUCUCACAAAAUCUCUCCAUCAUCAAUCCUUACCCUAAGAAUAUAUUAUAACCAAAUCAAAUCUUCCCUUUCACAUCCAAAUGGAUCUCAACCCAAGAAGAGAUGUUCCAACUUUUGUUGAACAAGAAGAGGAAGCCAUUAGAGGUGAACACCAAUUUCACCCUUUUCCUUCUUCUACUUGUGCUACUACUACUACUUCUUCUUCUUCUCCACUUCAGUACAAUAGAGGGUUUAUUGCUCUUAGCAACCACCACCACCGCCCCCAGAUGGGUACUUGGCUUGGGGGCUGCAAGUCGUUCAAGCCCGAAGACGAUAGCCCGGUUCGGUCCGGUGAGGGUUCUCCAAAGAACCUCGAGUUCACUGACCUCUCGAUGAAUCUAGAAUGCCGCGAAGAGGAGGAGGGAGAAGAAGGGGAAGAUAGCAAGGCCAAUAGGGAAGCGGCCGUGGUCGAGAAGGAGCACAUGUUCGACAAGGUUGUAACCCCGAGCGAUGUGGGCAAGCUCAACAGGCUUGUCAUCCCGAAGCAGCACGCGGAGAGAUUCUUCCCCCUCGACUCGUCCACCAGCGAGAAGGGGGGUCUCCUCCUCAGCUUUGAGGACAGGGCGGGGAAGCCUUGGCGGUUCCGGUACUCCUACUGGAACAGCAGCCAGAGCUACGUGAUGACCAAGGGAUGGAGCCGCUUCGUCAAGGAGAAGAAGCUUGAUGCAGGCGAUAUCGUCUCGUUCCAGCGCGGGGUUGGGGAUGCAGGCAAGGACCGCUUGUUCAUCGAUUGGAGGCACAAGCCCAACGCACGACGAGAUAUGCCCAUGUCUAUCAAUUACCCUGGUAACGUCUCGUUCCCUCACAGCUUCUCGUUUCACCGGCCGGUUCCUACUGGGAUGUGGAAUACUAAUUGUCCUAGUAAUUUUCCGAGGGACCACCAUAAUAUGGGUUUAACGACAAUCAAUGAUGUCAGCCUUAAUCCAUACCGGACAAACAUGUAUGGAAAUGUGAUGAAUCCGGCAUAUGGUGACGGCUCAGUACUGUAUCUUAGAUCAAGUGCGGCGGCUCCGCUAGGCGGAGGCCUUUUUGGUGGUGGGAUUGAACAGCCAGUGCCCGUGGUAUUUGAGUCAGUGCCCGUGGUCCAGGGCACAAAAGCGGUGGCGCCACCUACUAAUAAUAGGAGGCAGCUAAGGUUGUUUGGAGUUAACAUGGAUUAUCCAACAUCGGAAUCUGAUGAACAUGAUGAGGCUCCUCAUACUGAUCUUUCAUCUUCGCAAUCAAUUCAUGAGUAUCAGCAAUUGAGCGUCUAUGAUGGCAAGCCGGUCCCCAGUGGGUGGCUGAACAAGGGCAAAGCAUCAACAUCGUCCUUGGACUUUGGUAUUUGAGAGAUUCAUAGCUUUCAAGAUUAAAAGAGCUCUUUCAUGGAGAAGCUACAUAGUCUAUCGCCAUUGAAAUAAGAUGAAAAAGAUUGGUAAUCUUUUCCCUAGCCAAAAUUAAUGGGGAAAAGUUGGACUCGCGCAUCUCGCCUUCUUGGAGAGAACUGAAGCACAUCAGAUAUUAAUGUGGGGAUAACCAAUAGCCGAAAAGAUUGCCGGAGUUCAAUACAAGUCAAGUCAUACACCCACCGCUGCUAGUUUACACCAGUUGAUUUUGAAGAGAUUUGCUGCUUGUCAGGAACUAGGAUGGAAAACUUUUGAGACAAUCUCCGCAUUAGAACUUCUGUAUAGCACAAUUCUAUUCGAUUAACAGAAAAGAUUCAUGUCAUGUUCGAGUCUCUACAGUCAGGUCGUUAUAGGAGCUUCUUCAUCUUCAGCUCACUGCUGACAUGACUGCAUAGCGGAGAAGUGGAAGCAAAGUUUCAAUGCCGGAAAGGUACCGUAUCCUACUCGGUCUUAUUAUCGACAAUAAGUCAACAAAGAAUAUUUCAUAAAAAAAUUUAACCUAGCUAGGCUUAGUCGAUUAUUCAGCA